rnacentral:rRNA from 1 species
UAGAGUUUGAUCCUGGCUCAGAUUGAACGCUGGCGGCAUGCUUUACACAUGCAAGUCGAACGGUAACAGGGACUUCGGUCUGCUGACGAGUGGCGAACGGGUGAGUAACAUAUCGGAACGUGCCCAGUAAUGGGGGAUAGCUCGGCGAAAGCCGGAUUAAUACCGCAUACGCCCUGAGGGGGAAAGUGGGGGAUCUUCGGACCUCACGUUAUUGGAGCGGCCGAUAUCAGAUUAGCUAGUUGGUGGGGUAAAGGCCUACCAAGGCGACGAUCUGUAGCUGGUCUGAGAGGAUGAUCAGCCACACUGGGACUGAGACACGGCCCAGACUCCUACGGGAGGCAGCAGUGGGGAAUUUUGGACAAUGGGCGAAAGCCUGAUCCAGCCAUGCCGCGUGAGUGAAGAAGGCCUUCGGGUUGUAAAGCUCUUUCAGGUGGAAAGAAAGCGGAUGAGUUAAUACCUUGUCCGGAUGACGGUACCACCAGAAGAAGCACCGGCUAACUACGUGCCAGCAGCCGCGGUAAU